CGGGGGGAGCAAGCGUUGUUCGGAUUUACUGGGCGUAAAGGGCGCGUAGGCGGCCAGCACAAGUCAGUUGUGAAAUCUCCGGGCUUAACUCGGAACGGUCAACUGAUACUGUGCGGCUAGAGUGCAGAAGGGGCAACUGGAAUUCUCGGUGUAGCGGUGAAAUGCGUAGAUAUCGAGAGGAACACCUGCGGCGAAGGCGGGUUGCUGGGCUGACACUGACGCUGAUGCGCGAAAGCCAGGGGAGCGAACGGGAUUAGAUACCCCGGUAGUCCUGGCCUUAAACGAUGGAUGCUUGGUGUCUGGAGUUUUAUAGUCUCCGGGUGCCGUAGCUAACGCGUUAAGCAUCCCGCCUGGGGAGUACGGUCGCAAGGUUG
rnacentral:rRNA from 1 species